rnacentral:rRNA from 1 species
GAUGAACGCUGGCGGCGUGCCUAAUACAUGCAAGUCGAGCGAAUGGAUUGAGAGCUUGCUCUUAUGAAGUUAGCGGCGGACGGGUGAGUAACACGUGGGUAACCUGCCCAUAAGACUGGGAUAACUCCGGGAAACCGGGGCUAAUACCGGAUAACAUUUUGAACCGCAUGGUUCGAAAGUGAAAGGCAGCUUCGGCUGUCACUUAUGGAUGGACCCGCGUAGCAUUAGCUAGUUGGUGAGGUAACGGCUCACCAAGGCAACGAUGCGUAGCCGACCUGAGAGGGUGAUCGGCCACACUGGGACUGAGAGACGGCCCAGACUCCUACGGGAGGCAGCAGUAGGGAAUCUUCUGCAAUGGACGAAAGUCUGACGGAGCAACGCCGCGUGAGUGAUGAAGGCUUUCGGGUCGUAAAACUCUGUUGUUAGGGAAGAACAAGUGCUAGUUGAAUAAGCUGGCACCUUGACGGUACCUAACCAGAAAGCCACGGCUAACUACGUGCCAGCCGCCGCCGUAA